rnacentral:rRNA from 1 species
UACGUAGGCAGCGAGCGGUGUUCGGAAUUACUGGGCGUAAAGCGUGCGUAGGCGGUCGGCUAAGUUUGGUGUGAAAUCUCCCGGCUCAACCGGGAGGGUGCGCCGAAAACUGGCCGGCUAGAGUGCGGGAGAGGGAAGUGGAAUUCCUGGUGUAGCGGUGAAAUGCGUAGAUAUCAGGAGGAACACCGGUGGUGAAGACGGCUUCCUGGACCGUGACUGACGCUGAGGCACGAAAGCGUGGGGAGCAAACAGG